rnacentral:lncRNA from 10 species
GUAAGUCAGCUGUGACCCUGAGGAUGGGUGAGGAAGGGCAUUGCACCUUUUGCCUCUACAGUGGAUAUGGUGUUUUGCAUUCAUCAAGCCUAAGCAAACUUUUUCAUAAAGUUAGACUAUAUGGAGAGAGGAGUUUUAAAGGACCAUAUUGCGACUGAAACAAGGCAUAACAGGUCUUUGACUGGCUAUCCUGUGGAUGUGGACUCAGGCUAGCCUGCGCAAAGUGAAAGACAGGCAAUUAGAUUGAAAAAUACCUGUGAUUCAAAGAAGUCACAAGUCACAGAGACAAACUUUUCCCAGUGUGUUCGAGUCAGAGAACCUUUGCAAAGACCAACAGGCUAAAAGAGAAAAUACAAUGUCAUAUGGAGAAGCUUUGAGAACACUAUGCUAAGUGAAAGAAGCCAGAUACAAAAGACCAUAUGCUGUAUGAUUCUAUUUAUAUGAAAUGUCCAGAAUAGGCAAAGCCAUAGAAACAGAAAGUAGGACACAGCUAGAAUAUGUUUCCAAGCCUCCCCAACACGUGUGACUGUGUAUAAUUGAGUUCUAACCACAGGAAGCUUGAUGCAGAUGAGCAGGUAACCAUGGAAGUCGUGAGCUGAGGCUGCAGAGUCUAGAGCCAGAGUGUGGAAUAAACUUGGGUCUCAAAUCACCCCUGGAGCAAAGCACCCAUCUAAUCAGGAACUUCUACUUUCAACUUUACAUGCGUGAGAAAUGAACUUCUAUCAUGUUAGAGAAAUCCUUACACGGCGCCCUUGAGAGCUUUCAUACUGCAAGUCAUCCAUUUUCCUCCCCUCAAACCUGGCAUCGGAGUUUAUUGAAAC